AUUGAACGCUGGCGGCAGGCCUAACACAUGCAAGUCGAGCGGAGGAAGGGAGCUUGCUCCUGGAUUCAGCGGCGGACGGGUGAGUAAUGCCUAGGAAUCUGCCUGGUAGUGGGGGAUAACGUCCGGAAACGGGCGCUAAUACCGCAUACGUCCUGCGGGAGAAAGUGGGGGAUCUUCGGACCUCACGCUAUCAGAUGAGCCUAGGUCGGAUUAGCUAGUUGGUGGGGUAAAGGCCUACUAAGGCGACGAUCCGUAACUGGUCUGAGAGGAUGAUCAGUCACACUGGAACUGGAACACGGUCCAGACGCCUACGGGAGGCAGCAGAGGGGAAUGUUGGACAGUAGGCGAAAGCCUGAUCCAGCCAUGCCGCGUGUGUGAAGAAGGUCUUCGGAUUGUAAAGCACUUUAAGUGGGGAGGAAGGGCAGUAAGUUGAUACCUUGCUGUUUUGACGUUACCAACAGAAUAAGCACCGGCUAACUUCGUG
rnacentral:rRNA from 1 species